CCUACGGGUGGCUGCAGUGGGGAAUAUUGGACAAUGGGGGCAACCCUGAUCCAGCCAUGCCGCGUGUGUGAAGAAGGCCCUCGGGUUGUAAAGCACUUUCAGUGAGGAAGAACGCCUGGUGGUUAAUACCCAUCAGGAAAGACAUCACUCACAGAAGAAGCACCGGCUAACUCCGUGCCAGCAGCCGCGGUAAUACGGAGGGUGCGAGCGUUAAUCGGAAUUACUGGGCGUAAAGCGCGCGUAGGUGGCUUGAUAAGCCGGUUGUGAAAGCCCCGGGCUCAACCUGGGAACGGCAUCCGGAACUGUCAAGCUAGAGUGCAGGAGAGGAAGGUAGAAUUCCCGGUGUAGCGGUGAAAUGCGUAGAGAUCGGGAGGAAUACCGGUGGCGAAGGCGGCCUUCUGGACUGACACUGACACUGAGGUGCGAAAGCGUGGGUAGCAAACAGGAUUAGAUACCCUUGUAGUC
rnacentral:rRNA from 1 species